rnacentral:rRNA from 1 species
UAUGCUUAACACAUGCAAGUCGAACGGCAGCAUAGAGAGCUUGCUCUCUGGUGGCGAGUGGCGAACGGGUGAGUAACAUGUCGGAACGUGCCUAAUAAUGGGGAACAACUAAUCGAAAGAUUAGCUAAUACCGCAUACGACCUACGGGUGAAAGCAGGGGAUCUUCGGACCUUGCGUUAUUAGAGCGGCCGAUAUCUGAUUAGCUUGUUGGUAGGGUAAAAGCCUACCAAGGCGACGAUCAGUAGCUGGUCUGAGAGGACGAUCAGCCACACUGGAACUGAGACACGGUCCAGACUCCUACGGGAGGCAGCAGUGGGGAAUUUUGGACAAUGGGGGCAACCCUGAUCCAGCCAUUCCGCGUGAGUGAAGAAGGCCUUCGGGUCGUAAAGCUCUUUCGCAAGAGAAGAAAGCUUGCUAUCUAAUAAAUAGUAAGUAUGACGGUAUCUUGACAAGAAGCACCGGCUAACUAUGUGCCAGCAGCCGCGGUAAUACAUAGGGUGCAAGCGUUAAUCGGAAUUACUGGGCGUAAAGCGUUCGCAGGCGGUUUUAUAAGUCAGAUGUGAAAUCCCCGAGCUCAACUUGGGAACUGCGUUUGAAACUGUAAGACUAGAGUGUGUCAGAGGGGGGUAGAAUUCCAUGUGUAGCAGUGAAAUGCGUAGAUAUGUGGAGGAAUACCAAUGGCGAAGGCAGCCCCCUGGGAUAACACUGACGCUCAUGAACGAAAGCGUGAGGAGCAAACAGGAUUAGAUACCCUGGUAGUCCACGCCCUAAACGAUGUCUACUAGUUGUUGGUGGAGUAAAAUCCAUGAGUAACGCAGCUAACGCGUGAAGUAGACCGCCUGGGGAGUACGGUCGCAAGAUUAAAACUCAAAGGAAUUGACGGGGGCCCGCACAAGCGGUGGAUUAUGUGGAUUAAUUCGAUGCAACGCGAAAAACCUUACCUGGCCUUGACAUGCAGAGAAUCA